rnacentral:rRNA from 1 species
AACAUAGCCAGAGGAAGAUAUUUUUGGUUUAACCUGCCCAAUGUAUUAUUGUAUGAAUGGCCGCGGUACCCUGACCGUGCUAAGGUAGCGUAAUCAGUUGGCUUUUAAAUGGAGUCAGGUAUGAAUGGGAUAACCGGGCUUAGCUGUCUCAAAGACAUUUAUUUGAAUUUACUGUUCAAGUGAAAAAGCUUGACGUAAGAAAAGGGACGAGAAGACCCUUAGAAUUUUGUUUAAAGAGGAUUAUCUCCUCUAUGAUUUUGUUGGGGCGACAGAGAAAUAAUUAAAACUUUCUUUAAAUUAAUCAGUCGGAAUUUUCAGGUUAGGAUAAAUUACCUGAGGGAUAACAGCAUAAUUUUAUAAAUAAGUUUGUGACCUCGAUGUUGGACUAGGAAGCUAAUGGGUUAGCUGCUCAUUGUGCGGAUUCUGUUCGAAUUUUAACUCCUACGUGAUC